CCGGCGACCGGCGCACGGGUGAGUAACACGUAUGCAACCUGCCCUCUUCAGGGGGACAACCUUCCGAAAGGGAGGCUAAUCCCGCGUAUAUCGGUUUCGGGCAUCCGAGAUCGAGGAAAGAUUCAUCGGAAGAGGAUGGGCAUGCGGCGCAUUAGCUAGACGGCGGGGUAACGGCCACCGUGGCGACGAUGCGUAGGGGUUCUGAGAGGAAGGUCCCCCACACUGGUACUGAGACACGGACCAGACUCCUACGGGAGGCAGCAG
rnacentral:rRNA from 1 species